ensembl:ncRNA lncRNA:CR44686 long non-coding RNA:CR44686
UAGCUUCGUUCGUUCGUGUUGAAAAGACAUUAAAACUAAAUUGUAGAAAAAUGUCCUAAAUAGAUUAAAAAUGUUUUCCGAGUGCAUUUAGAGAGGAGGAGGGAAAGGAGCAACAAAAACACAGCGUGUUUAACGAGCCAUUUGCCGCUUUGGCGCUGAACUUGCUAAUUGAAUUAGAGCCGCUCGCUUCCUCGUUCAGUGGCUCGUUCUUCCAUGGUUCACAGGAUGACUAUGACGAUGAGGACGAGUAUGAAGAUGAGGAUGAGGUUGUGCAUGUGAAUGUCGAUGGGAACGGGAUGAUGGAGAUGAGGAUGCUCCGGCGGCAGGAUGUGAGCUCUAGCAACAACAAAGACUUGGGCGAUUCCGAGGGGCAGGGAGAAAAUCGGGAGCAAAGCGUAUUUGGUUGCUAAACGCUUUGGCAUGCCGCAUGCCUCAGGGGCUCACCACCACUCACCCGACUACCCAACCACCAUUCCGCCCAUCGACUGGAAUCCUUACACCACGCCCGCAGGAUUCAAUUAAGUGUAAGUGCGCCGGGCACACUCACACAAACACACACACACACAACCCCGCCGUAAAGAGCAAGUUCGCCAGGACCAAAAGUCUUGCAACAGUAUCGCCCUAAUGAGCAGCAAACGCUCGUCACCCGCCAACAAAUCGGGGAAAAAAACUUGCUAACUGUCGGAUAGAUAGUUGAAUUCACGAAAAUCCGCCUCUCGGCCAUUAUCGGUUAUGAUUAGCCGGGUACUCGUUGCCGAUGUCGUAAAAGUUCGAACAUUGCCAGUCUCUUCUGGCUACUGGAUUGGCCCCCAAAUGAGGACGAUAGGACCGGCAACUGAGUGGCAGGCAGGCAGGCAGCCCGCCUCACAUGAAAAGAGGACGAAUUUUUAAGCCACAGAUGGCUCACUGAAUAAAAUUCCAUCCUCGAUUUCGAGUCAGUCUUUGAAACCCUUAAGUAAGCCCCAAUUGAUGUAGGCCGUGCUACGCAAUUGUCCGG